UCGAGUGAUGGCCACUAUUACUGGGUUUAAAGCGUCCGUAGCUUGACUGUUAGGUCUCUUGGGAAAUCUUCACGCUCAACGUGAAGGCGUCUAAGAGAUACCGGCAGUCUUGGAACUGGGAGAGGUAAACCGUACUUCGGGGGUAGGAGUGAAAUCUUGUAAUCCUCGAGGGACGACCUAUGGCGAAGGCAGUUUACCAGAACAGCUUCGACAGUGAGGGACGAAAGCUGGGGGAGCAAACGGGAUUAGAUACCCCGGUAGUCCCAGCCGUAAACAAUGUGCGUUAGGUGUGUCGGUAACCACGUGUUACUGAUGCGCCGAAGAGAAAUCGUGAAACGCACCACCUGGGAAGUACGGUCGCAAGGCUGAAACUUAAAGGAAUUGGCGGGGGAGCACCACAACAGGUGGAGCCUGCGGUUUAAUUGGAUUCAACGCCGGACAUCUCACCGGAUAAGACAGCUGAAUGAUUGUCAAUCUGAAGGUUUUACAUGACUAGCUGAGAGGAGGUGCAUGGCCGUCGUCAGUUCGUACUGUGAAGCAUCCUGUUAAGUCAGGCAACGAGCGAGACCCACGCCGACAAUUGCCAGCAGCAUCUCCGGAUGGCUGGGGACAUUGUCGGGACCGCCUCUGCUAAAGAGGAGGAAGGAAUGGGCAACGGUAGGUCAGCAUGCCCCGAAUUAUCCGGGCUACACGCGGGCUACAAUGGACGGGACAAUGGGUAACAACACCGAAAGGUGCAGUCAAUCUCCUAACCCCGUCCUUAGUUAGGAUUGCGGGUUGCAACUCACCCGCAUGAAUCUGGAAUCUGUAGUAAUCGCGUUUCACUAUAGCGCGGUGAAUACGUCCCUGCUCCUUGCACACACCGCCCGUCAANNNNNNCCUAGUGGGGUUUGGAUGAGUCCCUGGUCUUNNNNNNNNNNGNAUCUAGGUUCCGUGAGGAG
rnacentral:rRNA from 1 species